rnacentral:rRNA from 1 species
CACGGAGUUAGCCGAUGCUUAUUCAUACGGUACAUGCAGGGAGUCACACGUGACUCUUGUUAUUCCCGUAUAGAAGAAGUUUACAAUCCAUAAGACAGUCAUCCUUCACGCGACUUGGCUGGUUCAGGCUCUCGCCCAUUGACCAAUAUUCCUCACUGCUGCCUCCCGUAGGAGUCUGGUCCGUGUCUCAGUACCAGUGUGGGGGAUAAACCUCUCAGUUCCCCUACCCAUCGUUGCCUUGGUGAGCCGUUACCUCACCAACAAGCUAAUGGGACGCAUGCCUAUCCUAUACCGAAUUUCUUUCCUCACUUCUUGAUGCCAAGCUGUGAGCAUACGCAGUAUUAGUCCGUCUUUCGACGGGUUAUCCUCCUGUAUAGGGCAAGUUGCAUACGCGUUACGCACCCGUGCCGCCGGUCGCCACCAGAUAGCAACGCUACCUUGUGCUGCCCCCUGACUUUGCUAUCGUGUUAACGCCUAUCCGCUACGCGUUC